rnacentral:rRNA from 1 species
UACGGAGGGUGCGAGCGUUGUCCGGAAUCACUGGGCGUAAAGGGCGCGUAGGCGGCGCGGAUAGUCGGCGGUGAAAGCCCGGAGCUCAACUCCGGGUCGGCCGUCGAUACUUCCGGGCUUGAGCACUGUAGAGGCAGAUGGAAUUCCGGGUGUAGCGGUGGAAUGCGCAGAUAUCAGGAGGAACACCGGUGGCGAAGGCGGGUCUCUGGGCAGUAACUGACGCUGGAGGAGCGAAAGCCGUGGGGAGCGAACAGG